GGGUUUACCCAUUGGUCAGGCUUAAUUGUCUGCACUGGUGAGAUAAAUCUCUAUCUUCUGAGGAACUUUCAUGUCAUUAGUUUGGUGUGAUUGGAAAUCAGGACUGUUACCUUGAAAAAAUUAGAGUGUUCAAAGCAGGCCUUUGCUCGAAUACAUUAGCAUGGAAUAAUAGAAUAGGACAUCGGUUCUAUUUUGUUGGUUUCUAGGACCGCUGUA
rnacentral:rRNA from 1 species